AGGAUCCUCAGCCACCAGGUGCUGGAUCCACUGUCUGAAGGAAAGAUUGGCACAGACAUUCCUGCUGCUGUUGCUGACCUUCCUUCUCUGUGUCCAGGAGCCUUGUUUUCCUGAGAACUAAGUGCUACAGGAAGACAGAGUGGAAAGCUUUGCGUUCAAGGAGUGCACCAAAGAGCCACCCAGGCAGUGCAAUCCCAUGUUCAAGGUGCUGAGAGCCAGACUGAAAGGGGGAACCACCUCUAAUAGGAUGAAGAAAAGGCUGCCAAGGGGCUGAGCUGGUCCAGGUAGUCCAAGCACAGAAGAAAAGAGCUGAGAGUGAAAAGAGAAACCAAGAAGCAGUACAAAAGAACCAAGUCUGGGCUUUGAGGACAGCAAGGAUGCUGGAGCUGUACUAUCUGCCAAGAUGAUACCAAAACUAUGUGAUUUGGGGCCAGUGGGACUUAUCUAAAGAAAUUUUCAUUAUAUUGUCAAUUAAAAACCUUUCCUGAUUCA